rnacentral:rRNA from 1 species
CGUGCUAAGGUAGCAUAAUCAUUUGGUCUUUAAUUGAGUUCUGGUAUGAAAGGUCAAACAAAGAUAACUUUCUUGUUUAUAGAGAUAAAAUUUAAGUUUUAAGUAAAAACGCUUAAAUUAUUGUGGGACGAUAAGACCCUAAAAGCUUUAUCUCAACUACGACUAGAUACAACCUAGUAUGUUAAUGAGAUUUGGUUGGGGUAACAACCCUAAAUAUAUUAGGGUUAUUUAAAUACAGUAUAUAGACAAGGAUCCUUAAUAUUAGGGUAAGAGUGAAAGUUACUUUAGGGGUAACAGGGUAAUUAUUUUAUGGAGCUCUUAUCUACAAAAUAGAUUGCCACCUCGAUGUUGAAUUAAGAUAUCUGCGUAAAGCAAAAAGUGCGCAAGAAGGUUUGUUCAACCUCUAACUUCUUACAUGAUCUGAGUUCAAACC